GCAGCCGCGGUAAUUCCAGCUCCAAUAGCGUAUAUUAAAGUUGUUGCAGUUAAAAAGCUCGUAGUUAAUUUUCUGUUAAUUUAUAUAUACAAUGCUACGGUAUUUAUAUAAUAUUAACAUAAUUCAUAUUACUUUUUAGUAUAUGAAACUUUACUUUGAGAAAAUUAGAGUGCUUAAAGCAGGCUAUUGCCUUGAAUACUCCAGCAUGGAAUAAUAUUAAGGAUUAUUAUUCUUCUUAUUGGUUCUAGAAUAAAAAUAAUGAUUAAUAGGGACAGUUGGGGGCAUUUGUAUUUAACAGUCAGAGGUGAAAUUCUUAGAUUUGUUAAAGACAAACUACUGCGAAAGCAUUUGCCAAGGAUGUUUUCAUUAAUCAAGAACGAAAGUUAGGGGAUCGAAGACGAUCAGAUACCGUCGUAGUCUUAACCAUAAACUAUGCCAACUAGAGAUUGGAGGUUGU
rnacentral:rRNA from 1 species